rnacentral:misc_RNA from 1 species
GAGAGAGAGACACACACACACACAUCAUUCAGGGUAAAAUAAUUGGACAUGUCCAGUAACUUGUACACACUCCCAAUCAAAAAGUAGAAUAAUUCAACAACAUUGGUUACUUAUGAAGUGGUAACAAGUGGUGGCUUGAGAAUAAUUUCGACAUUGUCAUGAACACCUUGGAGGAGGAGCUCACCAUCAUAGGUUAGGAAUUUCCUUUUCUUUGCAGCCCUUAAUGUUCCAACUAGCGCCUCAAAGAUGUUGGCACAUCUGUCAUCAUUAAACAGCACUCCGAAUGUUACCUUGUAAGAACCAUCAUCUUGGGCUAUGCCGAGUCGCUUGAUCUCUUCUUUGAGACGUUCAACCUCUUCUUCAACGUUCAUGGCUUCUUUUCAAUGGAGUUGAACAGAUCUAUCGUCGUCUAACAUUCACUAUUUGCUUUUUAUAUCCGAUAAAAU